rnacentral:tRNA from 1 species
GGGGAUAUAGCUCAGUGGUAGAGUGCAUGCUUACUAUGCACAAGGUCCUGGAUUCAAUCCCCAGUACCUCCA